UACGUAGGGCGCAAGCGUUGUCCGGAAUUAUUGGGCGUAAAGAGCUCGUAGGCGGUUUGUCGCGUCUGCUGUGAAAACUGGAGGCUCAACCUCCAGCCUGCAGUGGGUACGGGCAAACUAGAGUGCGGUAGGGGAGAUUGGAAUUCCUGGUGUAGCGGUGGAAUGCGCAGAUAUCUGGAGGAACACCGAUGGCGAAGGUAGAUCUCUGGGCCGUAACUGACGCUGAGGAGCGAAAGCAUGGGGAGCGAACAGG
rnacentral:rRNA from 1 species